rnacentral:rRNA from 1 species
GAUGAACGCUGGCGGCGUGCCUAAUACAUGCAAGUCGAGCGAAUGGAUUAAGAGCUUGCUCUUAUGAAGUUAGCGGCGGACGGGUGAGUAACACGUGGGUAACCUGCCCAUAAGACUGGGAUAACUCCGGGAAACCGGGGCUAAUACCGAAUAACAUUUUGAACCGCAUGGUUCGAAAUUGAAAGGCGGCUUCGGCUGUCACUUAUGGAUGGACCCGCGUCGCAUUAGCUAGUUGGUGAGGUAACGGCUCACCAAGGCAACGAUGCGUAGCCGACCUGAGAGGGUGAUCGGCCACACUGGGACUGAGACACGGCCCAGACUCCUACGGGAGGCAGCAGUAGGGAAUCUUCCGCAAUGGACGAAAGUCUGACGGAGCAACGCCGCGUGAGUGAUGAAGGCUUUCGGGUCGUAAAACUCUGUUGUUAGGGAAGAACAAGUGCUAGUUGAAUAAGCUGGCACCUUGACGGUACCUAACCAGAAAGCCACGGCUAACUCUGUGCCAGCCGCCGCGGUAA